ensembl:lncRNA
GCAAGAGUACUGGAGUGGAUUGCCAAAUAGGCACACCUUAUUCUUAACCUUAAGCCUUGUGUUAAGUCAUCAUGGAACAUUUGCCCAAGAAUAGCUUUGAGAAUUUUCCUUAUGAAGAGACUUGGGUGGGGUUCAGCCUAGAGGCAUGCAGUAUCUAGGCACCAUUUCCUGAACUGUGUUUUUGCCGAGUAUUAGGAUUUCUCAAGAUGUCAACACAUUGCUGAGACCAAGAUCUAUUGAUGAAGAAGAGCAGAAAAUUUCAAAAUUCUGGAAACCUGCAUCUUUGCUAUCAAACGCUAUUCUAAGAUGCUAAACAAGAGCAUUGGGAAGAGGCUAUAAAGACCACUGUCUACAUCAAGGAAGAGUGCUUUAGUUGGGGGAGAAAGCAGUUUCUCUAACCUGUUACAUAAAAUACAACGUAAAUGUUUCCUGUACAUAACAGGAUUCUAAUGCUCACCCAGAUUCAGUUCUCUUCUUUCUGGGCACCCAUGUGGAUAUUUUUCUCCUGAAGUUAGUUGGGUCUACGUGACUAAUUCUGGCCAAUGCCUUGUUUUUUGUUCCAGACUAUGCCUGGGACAGAGUCUCUGUGUGGAGAACAGUGGCCUUGGAGAGUCACCUGGAGCCACAGUUGACUGUAUAAACAGGAAACACACUUCUGCUGCGGGACACCAGGUCCUUUUUCUCUCUGAACAUCGGAUAUUGUCAACAUGAGCCGUAGUCCGGAGGGUGAGCUGUUAAGCUGGGAUAACAAGGAGCUCUCAGAGCAUUUGGAGCCUUGGCACCUACAUGGCAAUUUUGAAGCUUUUCUUUUUAAAACGGGGUUUCAAGACAAUCUCCCGCCAUCUCCACUUACUCCUGAGUAAGAGGAUUCUAAUGAAGCCGCCGUGGGUGAUGAGGCUCAGCCCCGCGGUCCUCUCCUGCAGGGACUGUUUCUGCUGCCUGGUUGUUAGCGGGGCAACUGCCGUCUUUAUCUUUGGGAUCUGCAGGGAAAGAUGCUCAGAGAGGGAGGCUAACAAGGAAAGUGUGAGUCCUACUAAGCAGACCGGAAAGCUUGGUCGUUUGAAAACAAUCCCCUUUCCUUGCCUUGGUUUUGGCAAUGAUAGGCUUAUCAAGGAGACUCGGGGAGGAGGAGGAGGAGAGAGGUAUGUAUCUUUUAGGGAAGAUGGUGGAAAGCAGAGAAAUGAGGGAAGCCUGAUUCUUGGCAGCAGGACAACAAGGUUGGCAAAGUUGUCUGCCCCUGACUGAAAAAGAACCACUUUCAAUGGACUGUGUGGGUUUGGACUCUGAGGCUGUUGGUGGUGACCAAGAAGAACAGAAGGCUGUCUUUUUUUAUUAAAGAUUUUUUAUGUGGAC